rnacentral:rRNA from 1 species
GACGAACGCUGGCGGCGUGCCUAAUACAUGCAAGUUGAGCGCUGAAGGUUGGUACUUGUACCGACUGGAUGAGCAGCGAACGGGUGAGUAACGCGUGGGGAAUCUGCCUUUGAGCGGGGGACAACAUUUGGAAACGAAUGCUAAUACCGCAUAAAAACUUUAAACACAAGUUUUAAGUUUGAAAGAUGCAAUUGCAUCACUCAAAGAUGAUCCGCGUUGUAUUAGCUAGUUGGUGAGGUAAAGGCUCACCAAGGCGAUGAUACAUAGCCGACCUGAGAGGGUGAUCGGCCACAUUGGGACUGAGACACGGCCCAAAUCCUACGGGAGGCAGCAGUAGGGAAUCUUCGGCAAUGGACGAAAGUCUGACCGAGCAACGCCGCGUGAGUGAAGAAGGUUUUCGGAUCGUAAAACUCUGUUGGUAGAGAAGAACGUUGGUGAGAGUGGAAAGCGUCAUCAAGUGACGGUAACUACCCAGAAAGGGACGGCUAACUACGUGCCAGCAGCC